rnacentral:rRNA from 1 species
AUUGAACGCUGGCGGCAGGCCUAACACAUGCAAGUCGAGCGAGCGGCGGACGGGUGAGUAAUGUGUGGGAAUCUGCCCGAUAGAGGGGGAUAACUAAUGGAAACGGUGGCUAAUACCGCAUACUCUCGGAUGAGCCCAUAUGGGAUUAGCUAGUAGGGGGGGUAAAGGCUCACCUAGGCGACGAUCUCUAGCUGGGCUGAGAGGGUGACCAGCCACACUGGUACUGAGACACGGGCCAUAAGCCUAAGGGAGGCAGCCGUGGGGAAUAUUGCACAAUGGGCGCAAGCCUGAUGCAGCACUGCCGGGGUUAUUAAGAAGGCCUUCGGGUUGUAAAGUACUUUCAGCGGGGAGGCGUUACCCGCAGAAUAAGCACCGGCUAACUCCGUGCCAGCAGCCGCGGUAAUAC